ACAGACUCAUACAUAGGAAUUUCAGUGGAGAUUGAUGUGUGGGAUGUAACACCCCAUAAUUUACAUAUAACUAUUACAAUAUCAGUUCUACCAGUUUCUAUACAAACUUGGAGUUUUUCAAAAUAUUCCUAAUACAUGAUUAGGAUUUAUAGAAAUACAAAUAUUUACAUAUCCACAACUCAAAAUAAAACUCUGAAACCUCUAAGGCUCUCCUGCACCUGUAUGGUCAUUUGCUCGUGUACAAAGUACAGUCAUCGCAGUUUAAACACAACACAAAAAGCA
rnacentral:lncRNA from 1 species